rnacentral:rRNA from 1 species
AUUGAACGCUGGCGGCAUGCCUUACACAUGCAAGUCGAACGGCAUCACGGGAAAGCUUGCUCUCCUGCGGGCGCGGGGCAAACGGGUGUGUAACACAGAGGAACGUCCUGGCAAGCGGGGGAUACUCCGUCGAAAGACGGGCAAAUCCCGCAUACACAUUUCAGCGGAUAGCUGGAGACUUUAGGGCGGCUUGCUAGCCGAGCGUCGGAUGUCCGAUUAGCUAGUUGGUGGGGUAAAGGCUUACCAAGGCGACGAGCGGUAGCGGGUCUGAGAGGACGAUCCGCCACACUGGGACUGAGACACGGCCCAGACUCCUACGGGAGGCAGCAGUGGGGAAUCUUGGACAAUGGGGGCAACCCUGAUCCAGCAAUGCCGCGUGGGUGAAGAAGGCCUUCGGAUUGUAAAGCCCUUUCAUUAGGGAAGAACACGGCGGGACGAAUAACCCUGCUGGAUGACGGUACCUGAAGAAGAAGCCCCGGCUAACUACGUG